CCAGAUGCUGGAACAGUCAGGAGGGGCAGCCUCAUGGUGCUGGUCAGCGGAGGAGAGAAGGAGGGCAGGGCCGCCCUGCAGCCAGGCAUGGGACUGGCCAUGGACAGCAAGGGGACAGCCAAUGAGCCGAUGGUAUGGACGCUGUCAUGGCUCUUUGUGGUGGCAAGGCCGGGAGGGCUGGCCAUCGGGCAUGGGGGGUGCACUGUGAAUUUUCUAGGGGACUCGCUGCAGUGAACACCAGGAGCCCUGGUCUGAGAGUGGCCUCCAGGAUCCAGUGGUCCCAUGUCCUCCUGCUCACACCAUGACCCCGUGUGUGCCCUGUGCCCACACCAUGACGCUGUGUGUGCCUGUGGUCUCAGGCCUGGAAGACAAAGGCAUGACAGAGAGCUGGGGCUCUGAGAGUGGGCGCUACAGUGGCUCUGUUCCUGUCCCCUGGACUCCUUUCAUUUCUGGUGGCCAGUGUCGGGGUCUUCACUGUGUGACACUGAGGCUGGAUGGGCCGGCAGAGGACAGGUGGGGGAAUGGGGGAUGUGUUCCAUUCCAGCUGGGGCUUUAGAGGAGGGAUAGCCCCCUUUUAGAUGGAUUUCCUUCUCUGAGGCAAUUAGAGUCCCCCCUCAGCCUCCCGCCAUGCACUUGCCGGCCCAGCCACCCGCACAGAGGGGACCCUUCCCUUCUCUGGAUUAAGAAGCCAUUCUCCUGAGUUCUGUGGGGCUGGAAUGUCUGCCUCAGGCCUGGGUCUGUCCUGCCCCAAACCCCUUUUGCGGAAGGCACAUGGAGCUUGGGGGCCUCCCGGACCCCUGCGCUUCUCCAGAGCCUGAGGCUCUCCCUGUGGGGAGAGGUGCUGGAAGAGGAUCCUGGGUCCCAGGGUUUCCGAGGUCCCUCCGUUCUCUGGAUGCUCUUUGGCCCCCGGGCAUUCCCUCCACUCAGAGUUUGCUUCCCUUCUUCCUGCACCCACGGGGAUCUCAUGGCCCUAGGAUGGAGAAGGAGACUCCUGUUUGUGCCCCACAAGCAGGUGAUCCAUCAUUCACUGUGAGCCGGCCAGAGGGAGUGGCUGCAGUACUCAGACCCUGCCCUGCCCUGUGGGUUCUGCCUGUGCCUUUCUGCUGCGAGGUGGGCUGCUCCAUUCUGGCCAGAGGAGCAGAGGGCAGCGUUCCCUUUGGAGCCGGAUGGGUGGGCUAUCCUGUGAGUCCCUAGCCCACCCAAGUCUUGGGUUGUGCUGCGAAUCUGACCCCCUCUGCAGAGUCAGAUUCUCAGUUUCCAUGAGUGGUGCUGUGACAACUAAGCCAUGCAGCAUGACCCUGUGUGGGCAGAAGGCUGCAAGGCCUCGCCGUCUGCUUGCACCUGCCUGGGGCCUGUCCAGCUGCAGGACCACAGAGGCUGUGGGCAGAGUCAUGGUGGGCAUCAGGCGCUGGGGCCUCAUGUCUCCAGGGUAGGGAAGGCAUGCGCUCCCAAUACAGCCCUCCAAGGAGAGAGCAAGACUCAAAAUGAGCAUUUCUGAAGGAGCGUUCCUGGCAGGGACUCGGGUCAGUGAGUAUGAUAGGAGGCCACAUGCCUGGCAGCAUCUCCCUGUGGUGGAAAUUUCAGGACCAGGGUCUUGGGGUCCUUGUGUCCAGAGGCUGAGGAUGGAGGUAGAAAGGAGGAGAGCAGGGGGCAGGAGUGAGGGUGAGGGGAA